CGGCACCUCUCCAUUGGCUCCGUCGCCGUCGCCAAGAUCAAAUUUUUAUUCUUCGGUGGCUGAUUUCGAGUGCGUCGGCUCGAUCUGCAAUGGCUUUCCUCCACUCCAACGCCGUGCGGACAACGCCAUGGAAGGGCCACCAUGACCAGGAGCAGGACGACGCCUUGGAAGGUUCACCGACAGCAGCAGCUACGGUCUGGUCUUCUCCACUGACAGGUAUAUGGACAUGGAGGUCCGCCAUGGAAGGCCUGGAGCUCGUCAUGGAGGGUCCCUCCUCUCUCUUCCCCUCCCUCCACUCUGUUGGUUGGUUGGACGGAAGACCACCACUCGUCCGGCUCUGCUUCUUCCACCGUUGCUCCCCUCCCACCAUUGUGCCAGAGACGCUGUGCCAAGCACGGAAGCUCAUGUGUCGUUUGUCAAGGAAAUCGCUGUGAUUGAUCCCCCGGAGCAUCUUAUCUUUUUGUUGAAUGUGCUUCAGGCAUGAGGCAUGACUUCACAUAUCUAAAUUAGAGAAGAGAAAGAUCCAGAGAUUUUCAUACCUAGAGGAACUCGCCUUCUUGAUGCUCCUUGCUUACAUGAGGUCUAACAUCUGGGAGUUCGAACAAGUUGGAUGAAUUUCUCCAUUCCAGUUUCUCUAUGUUGACCCAAUGCCAAAGGCAGUAACCAGUAAAUAACUUACGGCGACAGUACAAUACAUAUAUGUACAGAUCAGAAGAGAUGAAUCGGCUUCCACCGGAUCCUUAGCUGGCGUAGCCUCAACUGCUUGCUCAGGACGGUUUCUUA